rnacentral:rRNA from 1 species
CCUACGGGAGGCAGCAGUGAGGAAUAUUGGUCAAUGGUCGGGAGACUGAACCAGCCAAGCCGCGUGAGGGAGGAAGGUACAGAGUAUCGUAAACCUCUUUUGUCAGGGAACAAAGGCGGGGACGUGUCCCCGGAUGAGUGUACCUGAAGAAAAAGCAUCGGCUAACUCCGUGCCAGCAGCCGCGGUAAUACGGAGGAUGCGAGCGUUAUCCGGAUUUAUUGGGUUUAAGGGGUGCGCAGGCGGUCUGGUAAGUCAGCGGGCAAAGCCCGGGGCUCAACCCCGGCCCGCCGUUGAAACUGGCAGUCUCGAGUUGGAGAGAAGUAUGCGGAAUGCGCGGUGUAGCGGUGAAAUGCAUAGAUAUCGCGCAGAACUCCGAUUGCGAAGGCAGCAUGCCGGCUCCACACUGACGCUGAGGCACGAAAGCGUGGGUAUCGAACAGGAUUAGAUACCCCAGUAGUC